CUCUUCCAUCUCUUGUAUUCUGUUGCUGAUGCUGGCAUCUAUGGUUCCUGAUUUCUUUCCUAGGGUUUCUAUCUCCAGCGUUGCCUCACUUUGGGUUUUCUUUAUUGUGUCUACUUCCCUUUUUAGGUCUAGUAUGGUUUUGUUCAUUUCCAUCACCUGUUUGGAUGUGUUUUCCUGUUUUUCUAUAAGGACUUCUACCUGUUUGGUUGUGUUUUCCUGUUUUUCUUUAAGGACUUGUAACUCUUUAGCAGUGUUCUCCUGUAUUUCUUUAAAUGAGUUAUUAAAUUCCUUCUUUAUGUCCUCUACCAUCAUCAUGAAAAAUGCUUUUAAAUCCAGGUCUACCUUUUCAGGUGUGUUAGGGUGCCCUGGACUGGGCAAAGUGGGCGUUCUGGGUUCUGAUGAUAGUGAGUGGUCCUGGUUUCUGUUAGUAGGAUUCUUACGUUUACCUUUUGCCACCUGGAUGUCUCUGGAGUUAGUUGUUAUAGUUGUCUUUGUUUAGAGAUUGUUCCUCUGUUGAUUUUGUUACCCUCUAUCAGCCGACGUGGGAGACUAGCUCUCUCCUCUGAGUUUCAGUGGUCAGAGCAGUCUCUGCAUGCAAGCUCUCCUCUUUCAGGGAAGGUGCACAGUUAUCUGGUGUUUGGACCUCCUUCUGGCUGAAGAUGAAGGCCCAAAACAGGAUCUUUCCCAGAAGCUGUGUUGCUUUGGCCAGGAAGGUGGCCGGUUGUCUGGAGCCGAAAAUGGCGCUGUCUCAGAAGCUCUGUGGCUCUCGCCUUUCCCAGAAACUGCUGGCCUCUGUAUUCCACACCUUCACCAGUGCAGCCUCUUGCUCUUAAGGGACAUGUUUGUCUUUGUUUGUUAACUGGUCUUUUUUCCUUGCAGAUUUUAAUAGUCUCUGUUUGUUCUGUACAUUUAGUGUUUUGAUUAUUGUGUGGCAGGAGGAUUUUCUUUUCUGGUCUAAUCUAUUUGGUGAUCUAGAAACUUCUUGUAUGUUUAUAGGCCUAUCUUUCUUUAGGUUUGGAAAUUUUCUUCCAUAUUAAAAAUAUUCUCUGGGCCUUUGAGCUGAGAAUAUUCUUCUUCUAUUUCUGUUAUUCUUAGGUUCGGUCUUUUCAUACUGUUCUAGAUUUUCUGGAUAAAUUGUGUCAGGAAAUAUUAGAUUUGUAAUUUGUCUGACAGAUGUAUUGAUUUCUUCUAUAGUAUCUUUGAUGCCUGAUAUUCUCUCUUCUGUUUCUUGGAUUCUGUAGGUGAUUAUUGUGUUUGUGCCUUCUGUUACUUGGUUUUCCAUCUCCAGGAUGUUUUUCUGUUUGUUUGUUUUUCUUUUCUUUUGUUCUGUUUUUUUUUUGUUGUGGUGGUGGUUAUUUUAUUUUAUUUCUUCUUAUUCCCAUUUUCAGGUCUUGAACAGUUUUAGUAAUUUCCUUCACCUGUUUGAUUACAUAAUGUUUUCCUGGACUUCUUUAAUGGAUACAUUAAUUUCCUUUAAGGCUUCUAUCAUCUUCAUAAGAUUAGACUUAAGCUCAUUUUCUUAUGCUUCAGCUGUUUUAGAGUAUCCAGGGCUUACUGGCUGGAUCAGGUGGCUAGGAUGGCUGGGAUCAGGUGGUGCCACAUUUCUUGGCUCUUGUUGAUUGUCUUCUUACACUGGCCUUUACCCAUCUGAGUGUGCCUGGUUCUGGCAAGCGUCUGUGACUUCAGGAAGAGUUGUGGGAUGAAAAAUGGAGGGCAGGAACUGGGUGCAGUUUAUAAAUUCUUGGUAUGCCUUAUGGGUACUUGGUAGAUAGGAAAAGGAGAGGUUUUAACUUGUUUGUUCCUGAUAUCAGCAGGACUCUGAGAAUUCAGAUAGAACUGUAGGCUGGAAGAUGGACUUCCAGGACAUGGAACAUCUCACUGCUACUAGGAUUUUCGAUGAUCAGUUGUUAUCAACUCAAGAAGAAAGAAGAUCAAAGUUUGGAUACCUCAAUCCUUCUUAGAAGGGACAACAAAAUACCCAUGGAAGGAGUUACAGAGACGAAGUGUGGAGCAGAGACUGAAGGAAGAUCAUCCAGAGACUGCCCCACCUGGGAACCCAUCCCAUAUACAACCACCAAAACCAGACAGUGUUGUGGAUGCCAAUAAGUGCUUGCUGAAAGAAGACUGAAAUGGCUAUCUCUUGGGAGGCUCUGCCAGUGCCUGAAAAAUACAGAAGUGGAUGCUCACAGCCAUCCAUUGAACGGAGCACAUGGUUUCCAAUGAAGGAGCUAGAGAAAGGAUCCAAGGAGCUGAGGGGUUUGCAGCCCCAUAGGAGGAACAACAAUAUGAACUAUCCAGUAUCCUCAGAGCUCCCUGGAACUAAAUCACCAACCAAAGAAAACACAUGGUGGGACUCAGAGCUCUACCUGAAUAUGUAGCAAAGGAUGGCCUAGUUGAUCAUCAAUGGGAGGAGAGGCCCUUGGUCCUGUGAAGGUUCUAUGACCCAGUACAGGAGAAUGCCAGAGCCAGGAAAUGGGAGAGGGUGGGUUGAUGAUCAGGGGAAGCGAGGAAGGGUUAGGGGGUUUUUAGAGGGAAAACCAGGGAAGGGGAUACCACUUGAAAUGUAAAUAAAUAAAAUAUCUAAUAAAAAAUAAAAAAUU
rnacentral:lncRNA from 1 species